rnacentral:rRNA from 1 species
GCUUAUGCGUUGUUGGGUAGGGGAGCGUUCUGUAAGCCUGUGAAGGUGUACUGUGAGGUAUGCUGGAGGUAUCAGAAGUGCGAAUGCUGACAUAAGUAACGAUAAAGCGGGUGAAAAGCCCGCUCGCCGGAAGACCAAGGGUUCCUGUCCAACGUUAAUCGGGGCAGGGUGAGUCGACCCCUAAGGCGAGGCCGAAAGGCGUAGUCGAUGGGAAACAGGUUAAUAUUCCUGUACUUGGUGUUACUGCGAAGGGGGGACGGAGAAGGCUAUGUUGGCCGGGCGACGGUUGUCCCGGUUUAAGCGUGUAGGCUGGUUUUCCAGGCAAAUCCGGAAAAUUAAGGCCGAGGCGUGAUGACGAGGCACUACGGUGCUGAAGCAACAAAUGCCCUGCUUCCAGGAAAAGCCUCUAAGCAUCAGGUAACAUCAAAUCGUACCCCAAACCGACACAGGUGGUCAGGUAGAGAAUACCAAGGCGCUUGAGAGAACUCGGGUGAAGGAACUAGGCAAAAUGGUGCCGUAACUUCGGGAGAAGGCACGCUGAUACGUAGGUGAAGCGACUUGCUCGUGGAGCUGAAAUCAGUCGAAGAUACCAGCUGGCUGCAACUGUUUAUUAAAAACACAGCACUGUGCAAACACGAAAGUGGACGUAUACGGUGUGACGCCUGCCCGGUGCCGGAAGGUUAAUUGAUGGGGUUAGCGCAAGCGAAGCUCUUGAUCGAAGCCCCGGUAAACGGCGGCCGUAACUAUAACGGUCCUAAGGUAGCGAAAUUCCUUGUCGGGUAAGUUCCGACCUGCACGAAUGGCGUAAUGAUGGCCAGGCUGUCUCCACCCGAGACUCAGUGAAAUUGAACUCGCUGUGAAGAUGCAGUGUACCCGCGGCAAGACGGAAAGACCCCGUGAACCUUUACUAUAGCUUGACACUGAACAUUGAGCCUUGAUGUGUAGGAUAGGUGGGAGGCUUUGAAGUGUGGACGCCAGUCUGCAUGGAGCCGACCUUGAAAUACCACCCUUUAAUGUUUGAUGUUCUAACGUGGACCCGUGAUCCGGGUUGCGGACAGUGUCUGGUGGGUAGUUUGACUGGGGCGGUCUCCUCCUAAAGAGUAACGGAGGAGCACGAAGGUUGGCUAAUCCUGGUCGGACAUCAGGAGGUUAGUGCAAU